AUCGAACGCUGGCGGCAGGCCUAACACAUGCAAGUCGAGCGGAGCGGUGGACGGGCGAGUAACGCCUAGGAAUCUGCCUGGCAGUGGGGGAUAACGUCCGGACACGGGCGCUCAUACCGCCUACCUUCAGACCAGCCUAGGUCGGAUUAGCUAGUUGGUGGGGUAAAGGCCUACCAAGGCGAUUAUCCGUAACUGGUCUGAGAGGAUGAUCAGUCACACUGGAACUGAGACACGGUCCAGACUCCUACGGGAGGCAGCAGUGGGGAAUAUUGGACAAUGGGCGAAAGCCUGAUCCAGCCAUGCCGCGUGUGUGAAGAAGGUCUUCGGAUUGUAAAGCUCUUUAAGUUGGGAGGCGUUACCAACAGAAUAAGCACCGGCUAACUACGUGCCAGCAGCCGCGGUAAUAC
rnacentral:rRNA from 1 species